rnacentral:rRNA from 1 species
GACGAACGCUGGCGGCGUGCUUAACACAUGCAAGUCGAACGGGAUUUAGUAAACGGAAGCUUCGGUGGAAGAUUACUAAUGAGAGUGGCGAACGGGUGAGUAACACGUGAGCAACCUGCCUAUGACAGUGGGAUAGCCUCGGGAAACCGGGAUUAAUACCGCAUAAAAUCGUAGAAACACAUGUUUUAACGGUCAAAGAUUUAUCGGUCAUAGAUGGGCUCGCGUCUGAUUAGCUAGUUGGUGAGAUAACAGCCCACCAAGGCGACGAUCAGUAGCCGGUCUGAGAGGAUGAACGGCCACAUUGGAACUGAGACACGGUCCAAACUCCUACGGGAGGCAGCAGUGGGGAAUAUUGCACAAUGGGGGAAACCCUGAUGCAGCGACGCCGCGUGAACGAAGAAGGUAUUCGUAUCGUAAAGUUCUGUCCUAUGGGAAGAUAAUGACAGUACCAUAGAAGAAAGCUCCGGCUAAAUACGUGC